AGUGAACGCUGGCGGUAUGCCUAACACAUGCAAGUCGAACGGCAGCACAGUAAGAUCUUGCUCUUACGGGUUGCGAGUGGCGGACGGGUGAGGAAUACAUCGUAAUCUACUUUUUCGUGUGGGAUAACGUAGGUAAACUUACUCUAAGACCGCAUACGACCUACGGGGGAAAGCAUUGGAUCGUCUGACCUUUCGGGGUUGAAUGAGCCGAUGUCGGGUUAGCUAGUCGGCGGGGUAAUGGCCCACCAAGGCGACGAUCCGUAGCCGGAGUGAGAGGCUGGUAGGCCACACUGGAACGGAGACACGGUCAAGACUACUGCGGGAGGCAGCAGUGGGGAAUAUUGGACAACGGGCGCAAGCAUGAUCCAGCGAUCCCGAGCGGGUGGCGGAGGCGCUGGGGUUGUAAAGACCUUUUGUUGGGAAAGAAAAGCAGCCGCUUAAUACCAAGCUGUUGUGACGGUACCCAAAGAAUAAGCACCGGCUAACUUCGUG
rnacentral:rRNA from 1 species